UACGGAGGGUGCGAGCGUUAAUCGGAAUUACUGGGCGUAAAGCGUGCGCAGGCGGUUAUAUAAGUCAGCUGUGAAAUCCCCGGGCUCAACCUGGGAACUGCAGUUGAGACUGUAUGGCUAGAGUGUGUCAGAGGGGGGUAGAAUUCCACGUGUAGCAGUGAAAUGCGUAGAUAUGCGGAGGAACACCGAUGGCGAAGGCAAUCCCCUGGACCUGUACUGACGCUCAUGCACGAAAGCGUGGGGAUCAAACAGG
rnacentral:rRNA from 1 species